rnacentral:rRNA from 1 species
GGAAGGUGGGGAUGACGUCAAGUCAUCAUGGCCCUUACGAGUAGGGCUACACACGUGCUACAAUGGCGUAUACAAAGAGAAGCGACCUCGCGAGAGCAAGCGGAACUCAUAAAGUACGUCGUAGUCCGGAUUGGAGUCUGCAACUCGACUCCAUGAAGUCGGAAUCGCUAGUAAUCGUAGAUCAGAAUGCUACGGUGAAUACGUUCCCGGGCCUUGUACACACCGCCCGUCACACCAUGGG